GUCGAGCGCUACCUUCGGGUGGAGCGGCGGACGGGUUAGUAACGCGUGGGAAUAUACCCUUCACUAUGGAAUAGCCUCGGGAAACUGAGAGUAAUACCAUAUACGCCCUUCGGGGGAAAGAUUUAUCGGUGAAGGAUUAGCCCGCGUAAGAUUAGAUAGUUGGUGGGGUAAUGGCCUACCAAGUCUACGAUCUUUAGCUGGUUUUAGAGGAUGAUCAGCAACACUGGGACUGAGACACGGCCCAGACUCCUACGGGAGGCAGCAGUGGGGAAUCUUAGACAAUGGGCGAAAGCCUGAUCUAGCCAUGCCGCGUGAGUGAUGAAGGUCUUAGGAUCGUAAAGCUCUUUCGCUAGGGAUGAUAAUGACAGUACCUAGUAAAGAAGCCCCGGCUAACUCCGUGCCAGCAGCCGCGGUAAUACGGAGGGGGCUAGCGUUGUUCGGAAUUACUGGGCGUAAAGCGU
rnacentral:rRNA from 1 species